rnacentral:misc_RNA from 1 species
GGCGUGAUGGCGCGGAGGG